AUUUUUAUGUAACAAGCAUCAAUAAAAAUCUGUUCUUAUCAGCUUAAUAUCUGAUACGGGUCCUAUUUGGACCCAAGAUAUUAAUCUUAUUUUUGGAAUGCGGCGUAGUGCUUGAGGUUUACCUCACCUAUGCCACGGGUUGGCCCGGUAUUGCACUGCCUCCGGGAUCGGCCCACCCCCC
rnacentral:snRNA from 1 species